rnacentral:tRNA from 1 species
GCCUUCGUGGUGUAGUGGUCAGCACGCUCGACGCGUAACCGAGAGGUCCGUGGUUCGAUUCUCUGCGAAGGCG